AUCCAGCUGAUGAGUCCCGAAUAGGACGACACGCACGUCCUGAAU
rnacentral:hammerhead_ribozyme from 1 species